ACCCGGUAGGUCCCUUUCUGGCGCCUCUAGUACCCGGUAGGUCCCUUUCUGGCGCCUCAAGUGCCCGGUAGGUCCCUUUCUGGCGCCUCUAGUACCCGGUAGGUCCCUUUCUGGUGCCUCUAGUGCCCGGUAGGUCCCUUUCUGGCGCCUCUAGUACCCGGUAGGUCCCUUUCUGGUGCCUCUAGUACCCGGUAGGUCCCUUUCUGGCGCCUCUAGUACCCGGUAGGUUCCUUUCUGGCGCCUCUAGUACCCGGUAGGUCCCUUUCUGGCGCCUCUAGUACCCGGUAGGUCCUUUUCUGGUGCCUCUAGUACCCGGUAGGACCCUUUCUGGCGCCUCUAGUACCCGGUAGGUUCCUUUCUGGCGCCUCUAGUACCCGGUAGGUUCCUUUCUGGCGCCUCUAGUGCCCGGUAGGUCCUUUUCUGGCGUCUCUAAUGCCCGGUAGGUCCCUUUGGCGCCUCUAGCACCCGGUAGGUCUCUGGCGCCUCUAGCACCCAGUAGGUCUCUGGCGCCUCUAGCACCCAGUAGGUCUCUGGCGCCUCUAGCACCCGGUAGGUCUCUGGCGCCUCUAGCACCCGGUAGGUCUCUGGCGCCUCUAGCACCCGGUAGGUCUCUGGCGCCUCUAGAACCCGGUAGGUCCCUUUGGCGCCUCUAGCACCCGGUAGGUCCCUUUGGCGCCUCUAGCACCCGGUAGGUCCCUUUGGCGCCUCUAGCACCCGGUAGGUCCCUUUGGCGCCUCUAGCACCCGGUAGGUCCCUUUGGCGUCUCUAGCACCCGGUAGGUCCCUUUGGCGUCUCUAGCACCCGGUAGGUCCCUUUGGCGCCACUAGCACCCGGUAGGUCAUUUUCUGGCGCCUCUAGCACCCGGUAGGUCCCUUUGGCGCCUCUAGCACCCGGUAGGUCCCUUUGGCGCCUCUAGCACCCGGUAGGUCCUUUUCUGGAGCCUCUAGCACCCGGUAGGUCUCUGGCGCCUCUAGCACCCGGUAGGUCUCUGGCGCCUCUAGCACCCGGUAGGUCUCUGGCGCCUCUAGCACCCAGUAGGUCUCUGGCGCCUCUAGCACCCGGUAGGUCUCUGGCGCCUCUAGCACCCGGUAGGUCUUUGGCGCCUCUAGCACCCGGUAGGUCUCUGGCGCCUCUAGAACCCGGUAGGUCCCUUUGGCGCCUCUAGCACCCGGUAGGUCCCUUUGGCGCCUCUAGCACCCGGUAGGUCUCUGGCGCCUCUAGAACCCGGUAGGUCCCUUUGGCGCCUCAAGCACCCGGUAGGUCCCUUUGGCGCCUCUAGCACCCGGUAGGUCUCUGGCGCCUCUAGCACCCGGUAGGUCCCUUUGGCGCCUCUAGCACCCAGUAGGUCUCUGGCGCCACUAGCACCCAGUAGGUCUCUGGCGCCUCUAGCACCCGGUAGGUCUCUGGCGCCUCUAGAACCCGGUAGGUCCCUUUGGCGCCUCUAGCACCCGGUAGGUCCCUUUGGCGCCUCUAGCACCAUGUAUGUCCCUUUGGCGCCUCUAGCACCCAGUAGGUCUCUGGCGCCUCUAGCACCCGGUAGGUCUCUGGCGCCUCUAGCACCCGGUAGGUCUCUGGCGCCUCUAGCACCCAGUAGGUCUCUGGCGCCUCUAGCACCCAGUAGGUCUCUGGCGCCUCUAGCACCCGGUAGGUCUCUGGCGCCUCUAGCACCCGGUAGGUCUCUGGCGCCUCUAGCACCCGGUAGGUCUCUGGCGCCUCUAGAACCCGGUAGGUCCCUUUGGCGCCUCUAGCACCCGGUAGGUCCCUUUGGCGCCUCUAGCACCCGGUAGGUCCCUUUGGCGCCUCUAGCACCCGGUAGGUCCUUUUCUGGCGCCUCUAGCACCCGGUAGGUCCCUUUGGCGCCUCUAGCACCCGGUAGGUCCCUUUGGCGUCUCUAGCACCCGGUAGGUCCCUUUGGCGCCACUAGCACCCGGUAGGUCCUUUUCUGGCGCCUCUAGCACCCGGUAGGUCCCUUUGGCGCCUCUAGCACCCGGUAGGUCUCUGGCGCCUCUAGCACCCGGUAGGUCUCUGGCGCCACUAGCACCCGGUAGGUCCCUUUGGCGCCUCUAGCACCCGGUAGGUCCUUUUCUGGAGCCUCUAGCACCCGGUAGGUCUCUGGCGCCUCUAGCACCCGGUAGGUCUCUGGCGCCACUAGCACCCGGUAGGUCUCUGGCGCCUCUAGCACCCGGUAGGUCCCUUUGGCGCCUCUAGCACCCGGUAGGUCCCUUUGGCGCCUCUAGCACCCGGUAGGUCCCUUUGGCGCCUCUAGCACCCGGUAGGUCCUUUUCUGGCGCCUCUAGCACCCGGUAGGUCCCUUUGGCGCCUCUAGCACCCGGUAGGUAUCUGGCGCCUCUAGCACCCGGUAGGUCCCUUUGGCGCCUCUAGCACCCGGUAGGUCUCUGGCGCCACUAGCACCCGGUAGGUCUCUGGCGCCUCUAGCACCCGGUAGAUCCCUUUGGCGCCUCUAGCACCCGGUAGGUCCCUUUGGCGCCUCUACCACCCGGUAGGUCCUUUUCUGGCGCCUCUAGCACCCAGUAGGUUCUUUUCUGGCGCCUCUAGCACCCGGUAGGUCCCUUUGGCGCCUCUAGCACCUGGUAGGUUCUUUUCUGGCGCCUCUAGCACCCGGUAGGUCCCUUUGGCGCCUCUAGCACCCAGUAGGUCUCUGGCGCCUCUAGCACCCGGUAGGUCUCUGGCGCCACUAGCACCCGGUAGGUCCUUUUGGCGCCUCUAGCACCCGGUAGGUCCCUUUGGCGUCUCUAGCACCCGGUAGGUUCUUUUCUGGCGCCUCUAGCACCCGGUAGGUCUCUGGCGCCUCUAGCACCCGGUAGGUCUCUGGCGCCUCUAGCACCCGGUAGGUCCCUUUGGCGCCUCUAGCACCCGGUAGGUCUCUGGCGCCACUAGCACCCGGUAGGUCCCUUUGGCGCCUCUAGCACCCGGUAGGUUCUUUUCUGGCGCCUCUAGCACCCGGUAGGUCUCUGGCGCCUCUAGCACCCGGUAGGUCCUUUUCUGGCGCCUCUAGCACCCGGUAGGUCCCUUUGGCGCCUCUAGCACCCGGUAGGUCUCUGGCGCCACUAGCACCCGGUAGGUCUCUGGCGCCUCUAGCACCCGGUAGGUCCCUUUGGCGCCUCUAGCACCCGGUAGGUCCCUUUGGCGCCUCUAGCACCCGGUAGGUCUCUGGCGCCUCUAGCACCCGGUAGGUCCCUUUGGCGCCUCUAGCACCCGGUAGGUCUCUGGCGCCACUAGCAUCCGGUAGGUCCCUUUGGCGCCUCUAGCACCCGGUAGGUCCCUUUGGCGUCUCUAGCACCCGGUAGGUCCCUUUGGCGCCACUAGCACCCGGUAGGUCAUUUUCUGGCGCCUCUAGCACCCGGUAGGUCCCUUUGGCGCCUCUAGCACCCGGUAGGUCCCUUUGGCGCCUCUAGCAUCAAGUAGGUCUCUGGCGCCUCUAGCACCCGGUAGGUCCCUUUGGCGCCUCUAGCACCCGGUAGGUCCUUUUCUGGCGCCUCUAGCAUCCGGUAGGUCCCUUUGGCGCCUCUAGCACCCGGUAGGUCCCUUUGGCGCCUCUAGCACCCGGUAGGUCUCUGGCGCCUCUAGCACCCAGUAGGUCUCUGGCGCCUCUAGCACCCGGUAGGUCUCUGGCGCCUCUAGCACCCGGUAGGUCCCUUUGGCGCCUCUAGCACCCGGUAGGUCUCUGGCGCCUCUAGCACCCGGUAGGUCCCUUUCUGGCGCCUCUAGCACCCGGUAGGUCUCUGGCGCCUCUAGCAUCAAGUAGGUCUCUGGCGCCUCUAGCACCCGGUAGGUCCCUUUGGCGCCUCUAGCACCCGGUAGGUCCCUUUCUGGCGCCUCUAGCACCCGGUAGGUCCCUUUGGCGCCUCUAGCACCCGGUAGGUCCCUUUGGCGCCUCUAGCACCCGGUAGGUCCCUGUGGCGCCUCUAGCACCCGGUAGGUCUCUGGCGCCUCUAGCACCCGGUAGGUCUCUGGCGCCUCUAGCACCCGGUAGGUCCCUUUGGCGCCUCUAGCACCCGGUAGGUCUCUGGCGCCUCUAGCACCCGGUAGGUCCCUUUCUGGCGCCUCUAGCACCCGGUAGGUCUCUGGCGCCUCUAGCAUCAAGUAGGUCUCUGGCGCCUCUAGCACCCGGUAGGUCCCUUUGGCGCCUCUAGCACCCGGUAGGUCCCUUUCUGGCGCCUCUAGCACCCGGCAGGUCCCUUUGGCGCUUCUAGCACCCGGUAGGUCCCUUUGGCGCCUCUAGCACUCGGUUGGUCCCUGUGGCGCCUCUAGCACCCGGUAGGUCUCUGGCGCCUCUAGCACCCGGUAGGUCUCUGGCGCCUCUAGCACCCGGUAGGUCUCUGGCGCCUCUAGCACCCGGUAGGUCUCUGGCGCCUCUAGCACCCGGUAGGUCUCUGGCGCCUCUAGCACCCGGUAGGUCCCUGUGGCGCCUCUAGCACCCGGUAGGUCUCUGGCGCCUCUAGCACCCGGUAGGUCUCUGGCGCCUCUAGCACCCGGUAGGUCUCUGGCGCCUCUAGCACCCGGUAGGCCUCUGGCGCCUCUAGCACCCGGUAGGUCUCUGGCGCCUCUAGCACCCGGUAGGUCCCUGUGGCGCCUCUAGCACCCGGUAGGUCUCUGGCGCCUCUAGCACCCGGUAGGUCUCUGGCGCCUCUAGCACCCGGUAGGUCUCUGGCGCCUCUAGCACCCGGUAGGUCUCUGGCGCCUCUAGCACCCGGUAGGUCUCUGGCGCCUCUAGCACCCGGUAGGUCCCUGUGGCGCCUCUAGCACCCGGUAGGUCUCUGGCGCCUCUAGCACCCGGUAGGUCUCUGGCGCCUCUAGCUUCCUCCAGGCAUGUCAGCUGCUGUGGAAUCCUUUACAUUUCCAGGUAGAUAUUCGACCAAUUUAAUUUUUCAGCAACAGCUUAAAAAAUAUGCAGAAAGCUAACCCUAAAGCUUGAAAUAUAUUGGUGGUGAGUUGUGCGUCUCGCGUACUGGCGACACUGGCGACACCGGCGACACUGGCGACACCGGCGACACCGGCGACACCGGCGACACCGGCGACACUGGCGACACCAGCGACACCGGGGACACCGGCGA